GGCCAGACUCCUACGGGAGGCAGCAGUGGGUCCUCUUGCACAAUUUUUUCAACCCUGAUUCAUCCACGCCGCUUUCUUUAGGAAGUAUUUCUUUAUGUAACUCUCUCUCAGCAGUUCCUAUAAAAGAAUUUACCUGAAAAAGACUCCCCGGCUAACUACGUGCCAGCAGCCGCGGUAAUACGUAGGGGUCAAGCGUUAUCCGGAUUUACUGGGUGUAAAGGGAGCGUAGACGGAAAGGCAAGUCAGAAGUGAAAGCCCAAGGCUCAACCAUGGGACUGCUUUUGAAACUGUCAAACUAGAGUACGGGAGAGGUAAGAGGAAUUCCUAGUGUAGCGGUGAAAUGCGUAGAUAUUAGGAGGAACACCAGUGGAGAAGGCGUCUUACUGGAACGAAACUGACGUUGAGGCUCGAAAGAGUGGGGAGCAAACAGGAUUAGAUACCCCAGUA
rnacentral:rRNA from 1 species